AGUGGCGAAAGGGGGAGGAAUAGAUAGGAACGUGCCUUUGGCUUCGGAAUAGCGUCCCGAAAGGGGCGGUAAUACCGGAUAACGUCUACGGACCAAAGAUUUAUCGGCCUUAGAGCGGCCUAUCUCCUAUCAGCUUGUUGGUGGGGUAAUGGCCUACCAAGGCAACGACGGGUAGCGGGACUGAGAGGUUGGCCCGCCACAUCGGGACUGAGACACUGCCCGGACCUCCACGGAGGGCUGCAGUAACGAAUAUUGGGCAAUGGGCGAAAGCCUGACCCAGCAAUGCCGCGUGUAGGAUGAAGCCCCUCGGGGUGUAAACUACUGUCAGGGGUUAGAAAGCUACGGUUGAUCAACCCCAGAGGAAGUCACGGCUAACUUCGUGCCAGCAGCCGCGGUAAUACGAAGGUGGCGAGCGUUAUUCGGAAUUACUGGGCUUAAAGCGCACGCAGGCGGAAUAUUUAGCGUCUUGUGGAAUCCCCCGGCUUAACCGGGGAAUUGCAGGGCGAACUGGUAUUCUUGAGGCAAGUAGGGGUGCAUGGAACUCUUGGUGGAGCGGUGGAAUGCGUAGAUAUCAAGAGGAACGCCGAUGGUGAAGACAGUGCACUGGGCUUGUCCUGACGCUGAGGUGCGAAAGCGUGGGGAGCGAACGGGAUUAGAUACCCCGGUAGUCCACGCCGUAAACGAUGCCUACUAGGUCGUGGUUGUUCUGACACACUCACGGCCGAAGCAAAAGUGCUUAGUAGGCCGCCUGGGGAGUACGGUCGCAAGGCUAAAACUCAAACGAAUUGACCGGGGCUCACACAAGCGGUGGAGCAUGUGGAUUAANNUNUCGAANNGCCAA
rnacentral:rRNA from 1 species